GACGAACGCUGGCGGCGUGCUUAACACAUGCAAGUCGAGCGGUAAGGCCCUUUCGGGGGUACACGAGCGGCGAACGGGUGAGUAACACGUGGGUGACCUGCCCUUAGCUCUGGGAUAAGCCUGGGAAACUGGGUCUAAUACCGGAUAUGACUCCAUGACGCAUGUUGUGGGGUGGAAAGCCUUGUGCGGCUAGGGAUGGGCCCGCGGCCUAUCAGCUUGUUGGUGGGGUGAUGGCCUACCAAGGCGACGACGGGUAGCCGGCCUGAGAGGGCGACCGGCCACACUGGGACUGAGACACGGCCCAGACUCCUACGGGAGGCAGCAGUGGGGAAGUCUUGCGCAAUGGGCGAAAGCCUGACGCAGCGACGCCGCGUGAGGGAUGACGGCCUCGGUUGUAACC
rnacentral:rRNA from 1 species